UUUUUUUUAAAAAUAUAACGAAUUACUGGGAGUAAAUUGGAAUGCAUUUUAAAACGGGAUUCGUUUUAAAAUCAAAAGUGAUAGAUCUACGUCUGAUAAUUAUACAAUACCAUUAAUCCAAAUUUGAAUUUAGAAACACAAAUUGAUAGCAUUCCUGUUAAGUUGUCGUUUAACUAUGUUAACGUACGUUAUAACAACUCUCAUUUCAGUGGCGGAUUUAAAGGGCGCAGUCGGCGCCCCCCCCCCCCCCCCCCCCCUAAAAUUUUCAAAUUUAAGGUAAAUCGUGAUAUCUUGUUUAGACAAAUGUACUAAACGAUAAAAGAAGCAAUAUUUUCUUUCACUCCCGGAGAAAUGAAUGACAAAAUCUUUUUGCUUUCUUGAAUUACUUCAUUGGGAGAACUUAAUUUUUUCCAAAAACCCUUAAAAUUUGCGUCAUUUUACUAAUUUCACCUAAUUAAUAAUGAUAAAAAAUAGUAAAAAUGGCUUAAAUAGGAGACAUAUUUUAAGCCCUAUAAAAUCUGUAAAAUCCCGGAGCUUUCGCCGCCUGGACCCUCUUGGGGCCUCAAGGCGGCCCCCAAAACUCCUGCCUCAUAAAGUGGCGCCCCUCGUAACAGCAAUUCCUGGAUCCACCCCUGCAUUUCCUCUUCACCCCUCCCCCUUUGACAAAUUUCUAGAUCCGGACCUGUCUCGCUCUGCCUGAGGAAUGGAUUCUCGCCGACAAGUAAUGUCACUGAACUAUAUUUAUUCAUUUACUAUUUAACCUUAAAUUUAUUCAUUCAUUUAUGCAUAUUUGUGUUGAAAGUGAGUUCUAAACACAUAGGCAUAAGUAAAAUGAUUGCGUAAAUGUGACCUUAAUCUGGAAUGGUAAAAUUGAUGCUGCGUCUUUCCGUGCGAAUUCACCGGUGUUCAGGUCGUUAGAAAUUAAAAUAUUACCAUUUCUAUAUAAUGUUUCUUUUUCCCCACAAUAUAAGAUCAAAUAUUUGUGAUUGAAAUUAAUAUACGACAGUAAUCGGAAUUGAAUUCAUGGACACGCAAUAUAAUCAGCAUAAUAUUUGACGUAUGACGGUACAAUUUCGUUACGUUGACAUUUCUAAUAUUUUUACAGAUGUGUCACAAAAAUUGUCAUUAAAACGUUAAAUAACGUGAUAUCAGCAUAAAUUUGGUAUUUUUGUGAACAGAAAAUGAUACAUUAUAAAAUUCUAGGAAAAACUAAAAAUGUGAAAUUUUUACCGUAAGGGUCCUUUUCUCAUGACGCCAGUCAUUUAUUUCCAAAUUGUACACCUCCAUUAAAUUCAAGAUUAUUUUGGCAUUUGUAACACAAAACUAUCGUCACACCAGAUUGAAAGUCAAAAGUACAGUGCAAUGCUUUCCUGUUUGUAUUUUCUGUAUUCGGAGAUUGGUUUUUAAACUUGGGUGAAGAAUUUUAAAAUACUUUAACUUCAGUGUUGGUUUAUAAAGGAGAGGGGUCUGUUAAAGGAGUUUAAUUGCUCAUCCGCAGGUUUUUAAAUGAAUUGUCAUAUCAAAAAAUACCGUCUCCAUCGACAUUGCUUUCUCCUCGUUCAAACCUUUUCCCGUAACAACUGACAAUUUAUUAAUAAAUGAUAGAACAUUUAAUGCUAAAUAUAAAUCUUAACAUUUUGGUAUUUUAAGUAGUGUUUAUGAAUAAAUCAUAUGUUAAGAGGUUACCAAUGGCGUUUGUCUUUUUUUUUUAUAUCUGCGGCACGAUGACGAGUUUCUUCAAUUAGUAUUUGUGCUUUCAUUGCUGGUUGUCCAUGGGACAUCAGACAUAGUAUCUAUCUUUAGAUAAGCACGGACAUUUGGGUAACCAAGUUCCGCUAAUCUGGAUAACUGUAUGUCUUAAGUAUUGACGCGGAGAAAAACGCACACUUCAAAUCUUAAUAGGUUCCGUUACAACAAAAUAUUUCCGUUGACAAUAUUGGAUUGAUAUUUUUUGACGAGCAUUGUCUUCUAGAAAACCAAACAAAGGACACAUUAUGUACAUCUGAAGAGGUGGAACAAUUAUACAUCAGACAGUACUCUGUUUCUGUUACAAUACAUACCUAUAACGACUGCAUUACAAACUGAUUCUGAUUCAUUGUCACGUGGAUUUUUGUGUUCAUGUGUUAACUUCAAAACCGAAAGUAGAAGGGGAUUCCAUUGCAUGUAGAUUAUUUAUAUCUGAAGUAAAUCUAAUGUUUUGUACUGCUAUUCAACGUUUCGUUUGGAGUUGUGCUUUAAAUCCUCGAUUUUUAAAGACAUCCGACAUGGCGAUUAUCAUCAUUGUGAUCUGGAUUGCUCUGUUUUUCCACGUGCGAGCAAGGGUCAUCUCUAAUGUGACAAACCUAGAGGAGCUGAAAAAAGGUUUCUGCCACCAGGAAAGAAAAACUGUGAGGGUUUCCUUUGGCUGUGAUAUCUACAAGGCUACUGUUACAGUUGAAACAUAUGAAAAUAUGUUUGCCCAAUGUUCAAAUACCUCGAAUGGUGUUUUUUGUUCUCCUAGAACAUACAUGUACAAUGAAAGUAAUGGAAUACUCGAAUUUAACUUCACGUUUGAUUAUUCACAACACGCUGGAAAAUCAAUGUGGAUAAAUUACACGUGUGACAUCGAGAACAACGAGACGGAGUUUUCAGAAAGCCUUCCCUUGCGCCCAUGCCAUUACAUGAACGUUGGACUGAUUGGAACGGGGUACGACAAUGUUAAUUUUCUUGAUGAAUAAUGCGUCUCUUAACACUUAAUAUUAUACAUUGCCUAAUUUGUAUAUGACCAAUAAGAGACGAGAAUGCGAAAAAGAAUUAAUUCAUAUAAUAAUGCUAUUGAUACAUAUAAUAAUCAAUAUUGAUACUGAUACAAACCAAGAAUGAUAGAUAUAAAUAUCUAUUUUGUAUUGCUUAUAGGAGUUAUCGUUAUCCCAUAAGCAAUACAAAAUAGAUAGUUGGGCAAACACAGACCCCUGAACACACCAGAGGUGGGAUCAGGUGCCUAGGAGGAGUAAGCAUUCCCUGUCAACCGGUCACAUCCGCCGUGAGCUCUAUAUCUUGAUCAGGUAAACGGAGUUAUCUGUAGUCAAAAUCAGUGUGCCACGAAUGGUCUAACAAUCGGUAUUAAACACUUCAAGCAACAUUUGGCCCACUAUUGAUGAUGAUAAAUAUUGACAAUGCAAAAAAUACAUAUUGAUAAAUCUUAAUUUAUGCUAAACAUUGAUAAUGCUAAAAAUUGAUAAUGCUAAAAGUUGAUAUUGCUAAAUUGAUAAUGCUAAAUAUUGAUAAUGCCAAAUAUUGAUAAGUAUUGAUAAUGCUCAAUAUUGAUAAUGCUAAAUAUUGAUAAUGCCAAAUAUUGAUAAUGAAAAAUAUUGAUAAUGCUAAAUAUUAAUAAUGUUAAACAUUGAUAAUGCUAAACAUUAAUAUUACUAAAUAUUGAUGAUACUAAAUACUAAUAAUGAUAAAUAUUGAUGACGAUAGGUAGUGUUUUCGAUAGAUAUUGUUAUUGAUAAAUAUUGAUAGUGAAAAAUAUUGAUAUUGAUAUAUAUUUACAAAGAUAAAUAUUGGUACUGAUAAUAUUGAUGAUAAUGAAUAUUGAUAAUGAUGAAUAUUUAUAUCAAUGAAUGUUGAUAAUGUAUAACAUUGAUAACGAUCAAUACUGAUAAUGACCAUACUGAUAGUGAUGUUAUUGAUAAUGAUGAAGUCUGAUAAUGAUACGUAUUGAUGAUUGCUGAUAAUGAUAAAAAAUAAUAAAGAGGAGUAUUAAUAAUAUUGAUAACAUUGAAUAUAUUGAUAAUGAAUUAUUUACCAUUUCAAGUCUCAGGAUUUAUUGCAUAUGCGACCCACAAUGACACACAUGUUAACAUCGUGUGUAAACAUGCCGACUUCAACAUGUCACAAGGUAUCAGCAUCGUGGAUAACAGUACAGGCAACCAUUUAAUGACCUGUCAGUGGAAUCAAAAACUAAAACUGCCUCAAUGCCAUCCCCAAUCCAAAGGACUCUCCACUGGUAUAGAUGGAUUCAUUACGGAAUACAAAGCAGGAUCAGGAUUCAUAUGUACUAUGGAUGGUCAGAGUAUUGGAGUGGAUCUACAUGCGAAUACUGAUAUACAGUCAACAGCAAAAACAGUAUUCCAGUCUGCAGAAAAUGGAGGUGGUUAUCUCGUUUCCUACAUACUGCAUAUAUUUCCACACCUCUGUGUUGCUGUGUUUGUGCAGUAUACUGUUAUCAAUGUGUAGAGCUACAGGCACCAGAACAGAAAUAAUGAAGGAUUCCUACGUUAUCUAUUGAACGAAAUUUCAGCACUUGCAAUGGGAAGGUGUCGAAAUGUGUCAAUAGAUGAUACCACAGAAAGCAAGUCUCCGUGGUGCAGCAAAUGUGGCAGAAUAAAGACCCUCUGCUUAAAGGUUGUACGUGCCGACCAUAGUCUCAGAUUUAACACCCCUUCACUGGCAAUGGUCACAUUCUCGAGCUGGACGUUCAACAAUAUAUACCAACAAACUAUCAUCAAGCUAUAUAUCUAAUAUGUAUCCCUGAUCGGGACAUGGUGUUCACGGCGGGUGUUAGCAGUCGUCAUAGGAUUCUCACUCCUCUUAGACACCCGAUCCCACCUCAGGUAUACCCAACGUUCUUUAUUCCUUAUAGGAGUUAUGAGACUGAUCAUUGUUCGUUAUCUUCCCCUUUCAUAUCUUGGUGUAAAAUAGAGCGUGUAUGAAGAUGUUUAUGUUUGUGUGUGCGAUGCAGUUGUAUUUGUGAUAUAAGUUCUGAGAGACGUUAUACUUAUAAGUUUCUUAUAAAAAAAAAUGUAUUUGUGAUAAAGCUCUGAGAGAUGUUAGAAUGUUUGAUUAGUUUUUUUUUUAAUAAUAAAAUUUUUGUAUAUGUGACAUGAUUUCCGAGAGACAUUAGAAUGAUAAGUGUGUUACAAUAAUACUUGUAUUGGUGACGUAAUUUCUGAGAGAUGGUAGAAUUAUAAGUUUUGUUCUAAUAAACUGUUGUAUGUGUGAUAUAAGUUCUGAGAGACGUUGGAAUUUUAAAAAAAAGUUUGUUACAAUAAAAUUUGAGUUUGUGAUAUAAUUUAUGAAAGAUGUUAGAAUUAUGAGUUUGUUUCAUAUAAUUUAGUAUUUGUGAUACAACUCCUGAGAAACGUUAGAAUCAUAAGUUUGUUACAAUAAUAUUUGUUUUUGUGUUAUAAUUUCUGGAAAAGAAAAACACACGUUAAAAUCAAAAGUAUGUUACAAUAAUAUUUACAUUUUUGAUAUCUUUGAGAGACAGUAGAAUUUAUAAUAAGUUUGUUACAAUAAAAUUUUGUAUGUGUGAUAUAAUUCCUGAGAGACGUUAGGAUUAUGAGUUUAUUACAAUAAAAUAUUCACAUCCAC